UACGUAGGGCGCAAGCGUUAUCCGGAAUUAUUGGGCGUAAAGAGCGUGUAGGCGGUUUGGUAGGUCCGCUGUGAAAACUCGAGGCUCAACCUCGAGACGCCGGUGGAAACCAUCAGGCUAGAGUCCGGAAGAGGAGAGUGGAAUUCCUGGUGUAGCGGUGAAAUGCGCAGAUAUCAGGAAGAACACCCGUGGCUAAGGCGGCUCUCUAGUACGGUACUGACGCUGAGACGCGAAAGCGUGGGGAGCGAACAGG
rnacentral:rRNA from 1 species